rnacentral:rRNA from 1 species
AUGGCUCCACGACUAAGUCCUUUCACGAGGACAUCUACCGUGACAAACCCACGACAGAUGGCGCCCACUAUGGGGCUAUCGCACGAUGGUUUUGAGUUCUUGAAGGGCAGCUUCGAUGGACUCAAGGGAUACGCUGUGGGCCGGAUGACGAAGAGUCGCCGCGGCAAGCUCUACAUCGACAAUGUAGGAUGGGGUCCCGAGGCCGAUUCAAUCGAAUACGGGUACCGGGUCCCCUUUGGUGGGAUUCAUGUCUUCAUCAGCAAGAUCGGCGAACCGGCCCCCGAGCCGGACAUCUGCACCGACAUCAUCGGAACGGCUCGGCGUGCAAGUUCUUCGCCGGUUCAGCCCGAGGCAAGGCAUGUUUUCGUAGGUGUCGUCCAUGGAUCGGGGUACAAGGACGGACUGGUGUCCGAUGGAGAAACCGUAGUCUGCUCUGAUGAUGAGUCUUCUGGAGAAACUGAAUCGCUUUACCAGUUGCAGGACGACCGGAUUGAGGAAGGAUCCGAGGGCAACAGUAUUCUGGAUUCCCCCGGUCUGCCAAACCGGGCCGCCAUCUUCAUGGCCGGCACACAAUCGGCGCCUCAUUCAUCUACCGUCACAGCAAUGCUCUCCGGUUCAAUGACGGCCACACCAGCAGGGGCAGGAAGCUCGGCGCCACCUCCGGCCCAAGUCUUGUCUGAUUUGUUCGAUGUUCUGGCAACAUUGAUGUCCGCGGAGGUAGACGUAGCAGCCAGGGAUCAGCACGAUGCGGAGAUUGUAAAAGUGAAAGAUCAGAUAGCCCAGGCUAAAGCGGACCUGGCAGCCGAGAACGCCAGGAUGACUACGGAGUGGGCCGAGUUGGAAGCACAGGCUUACCGAAUUAGACUGGAUCAGAAUGCUUCAGAGGAAGUCAUGAGAAGAAGGUACCGAUCAUGUCUCCCGUCGGUUUAUGAGCCGUAG